rnacentral:rRNA from 1 species
AGGAAUAUUGGUCAAUGGGCGCGAGCCUGAACCAGCCAAGUAGCGUGAAGGAUGAAGGUCCUACGGAUUGUAAACUUCUUUUAUAAGGGAAUAAAGUCAUCUACGUGUAGGUGUUUGUAUGUACCUUAUGAAUAAGCAUCGGCUAACUCCGUGCCAGCAGCCGCGGUAAUACGGAGGAUGCGAGCGUUAUCCGGAUUUAUUGGGUUUAAAGGGAGCGUAGACGGGUCGUUAAGUCAGCUGUGAAAGUUUGGGGCUCAACCUUAAAAUUGCAGUUGAUACUGGCGUCCUUGAGUACGGUUGAGGCAGGCGGAAUUCGUGGUGUAGCGGUGAAAUGCUUAGAUAUCACGAAGAACCCCGAUUGCGAAGGCAGCCUGCUAAACCGCCACUGACGUUGAGGCUCGAAAGUGUGGGUAUCAAACAGGAUUAGAUACCCUGGUAGUCCACACGGUAAACGACGGAUACUCGCUGUUGGCGAUAGACUGUCAGCGGCUUAGCGAAAGCGUUAAGUAUCCCACCUGGGGAGUACGCCGGCAACGGUGAAACUCAAAGGAAUUGACGGGGGCCCGCACAAGCGGAGGAACAUGUGGUUUAAUUCGAUGAUACGCGAGGAACCUUACCCGGGCUUGAAUUGCAGACGAAUUGCUUGGAAACAGGCAAGCCGCAAGGCGUCUGUGAAGGUGCUGCAUGGUUGUCGUCAGCUCGUGCCGUGAGGUGUCGGCUUAAGUGCCAUAACGAGCGCAACCCUCGUGUCCAGUUACUAGCAGGUUAUGCUGAGGACUCUGGACAGACUGCCAUCGUAAGAUGUGAGGAAGGUGGGGAUGACGUCAAAUCAGCACGGCCCUUACGUCCGGGGCUACACACGUGUUACAAUGGGGGGUACAGCAGGCAGCUACCGGGCGACCGGAUGCCAAUCCCGAAAGCCUCUCUCAGUUCGGACUGGAGUCUGCAACCCGACUCCACGAAGCUGGAUUCGCUAGUAAUCGCGCAUCAGCCACGGCGCGGUGAAUACGUUCCCG